AGAGAGAGAGAGUGAAGGAUGCUCUAAGAUUUCAUUCCUUCUUCCUCCUUCGAACCUUGGCAGUUUUUCCUUCUGUUUCCGUCGUUGCUGUCGCUAGUGUGAGUAACCACCCUUGCUUCAAUCGUCCGAAGUUGACAAGUGCUUAAGUUCGUUUGUUGCUGCUGUGCGUCUGCAAGAUCUCUUCAUUCUCCCCUGUUCCAGCUCAUAUCUACUGUGAUUUGUUGAGCUGCUACUCUUCUAUUACCGUUGUUGGAGACUUGGUUGAUCAGAAAUUUUACUUUUGCUCCUCCGUUCGUCCGUGCGUCACUGUAGAUGUUGCUGUUAGUGUGUGGAAAUUUUUAUCUUCCUCUGCCGGUGCGUGUAGGAAUUUUCAGAUUUGUUAGCUGAUGUCGAUUCCACCAUUGAUUUUGAAGGGCAAACUAGCUACAGUGGGUGGAAAUUUUUGAUUGGUACUGUUACUUUUAAUGUAAAUACAUAAUUUGUAUGUGUUUUUGAUUUAAAAGAAAAAGUAGAUGCUCCAUAUAGAUUGUUGUUAGGAUUUUAUUUUGAUCUAUAUACUGUUGCUGGCUGGAAGGAGCUAAGCUCCUGAUUGAUACUGUUUUUUUAAAAAAAUUUUGUUAUAGAA